AUUGAACGCUGGCGGCAUGCUUUACACAUGCAAGUCGAACGGUAACAGGCCGCAAGGUGCUGACGAGUGGCGAACGGGUGAGUAAUGCAUCGGAACGUGCCCAGUCGUGGGGGAUAACUACUCGAAAGAGUAGCUAAUACCGCAUACGAUCUAUGGAUGAAAGCGGGGGACCGUAAGGCCUCGCGCGAUUGGAGGGGCCGAUGUCAGAUUAGGUAGUUGGUGGGGUAAAGGAUCACCAAGCCAACGAUCUGUAGCUGGUCUGAGAGGACGACCAGCCACACUGGGAAUGAGACACGGCCCAGACUCCUACGGGAGGCAGCAGUGGGGAAUUUUGGACAAUGGGCGCAAGCCUGAUCCAGCAAUGCCGCGUGCAGGAAGAAGGCCUUCGGGUUGUAAACUGCUUUUGUACGGAACGAAACGGCUCUGGUUAAUACCCGGGGCUAAUGACGGUACCGUAAGAAUAAGCACCGGCUAACUACGUG
rnacentral:rRNA from 1 species